AUUCUCAAUGAUUGUUUUAGCGUUAAUAUUGAAAUAAAGGAAAGGAUUCAAAGAAAGAUAACGGUUGAUUAUGUUUCAAGAGAAAAGUUUAAACACAGUUUGUUGAAGGCAAAACCUAAAGUCGUUAACGCAUGAGCCAUUUUUUGAGCAUUCAUAUUUCGGCUGAUUAGCGUAUACCGAAAGGGAACUACAAAAGGAACAAGAGAGUUUUGCUGUUGUUUAAGCCACUCAUUCGCAUAACUUUAAUGUCGUAUAAAAAAAAUGCAAUUCAAUAUUUCUUCGCAAUCUUAUUAAAAUUAUUUGAAAAUUUCAAGGAUUUUUAAGACUCUCUUUUUUUCUUCGAUUUGCAAUUUUCAAAGAAUUUUAAUAAGGUUGCGAGGAAAUGUUAAAUAUUAAAAAAAUAAUCAAAUUUAGUUUCUAUAAUAUCCUUUUAAUUAAUUUUAUAAAAAAAACAGCCUCAAAAAUAAAUUAGGUUUAACCCCAUUAAAAUAUGGCAAAAGCACAUUUUAGCAUUCGAUCAUCUAACAAAUAAUCUUAUAUGCAAAUGUUUUUCUGGUACAAUCUUACAUGCUCAUUUAGACUUCCUUUUUGACAAAGCGUUAGAAGAUUGUGCUAGAUUAUCUUC